rnacentral:rRNA from 1 species
UACGUAGGGAGCAAGCGUUGUCCGGAUUUAUUGGGCGUAAAGAGCUCGUAGGCGGCUUAGAAAGUCAGGUGUGAAACCUCCAGGCUUAACCUGGAGACGCCACUUGAUACUUCUAUGGCUUGAGUUCGGUAGGGGACCAUGGAAUUCCUGGUGUAGCGGUGAAAUGCGCAGAUAUCAGGAGGAACACCGAUGGCGAAGGCAGUGGUCUGGGCCGUGACUGACACUGAGAGACGAGAGCUAGGGGAGCGAAUGGG